rnacentral:lncRNA from 1 species
CACCCCAAUGCAUAUAAAAUUUGCAAUAAAAAUCAAGAAAAAACAAAAUGAAUACUCAAGUUGGUGCUUUUGGUAAGAAUAUUGAUUACUUGUCACACCUAAUCACAAAAAUCCUUGUCAUGAUGGAUAGUUUUAGAGAAAUUCUACUUUUUAAACAACUUUUUAACCCAAAUAUGAAAUUUUCAAUUAACCAUGCAGUGCCGCAGACAGGAAAAGAAGUAUAGACUCAUGCAAAGUGAACAUUUUAUGAAAAUCUUUUCACCAAAUGUUCAUUUUAUACAUAUUCUACCUUAAUGUCAACAAUUGAGCCAUAAAAAUAAUAACCC